AUUGAACGCUAGCGGGAUGCUUUACACAUGCAAGUCGAACGGAGUGGCGAAGGGGUGAGUAAUGUAUCGGAACGUGCCCAGUAGAGGGGGAUACCUAAGCGAAAGCGUAGCUCAUACCGCAUACUAUUGGAGCGGCCGAUAUCGGAUUAGCUAUUUGGUGUGGGAACGGCUCACCAAGGCGACGAUCCGUAGCUGGUUUGAGGGGACGACCAGCCACCCUGGGACUGAGACAUGGCCCAGACUCCUACGUGAGGGAGCAGUGGGGAAUUUUGGACAAUGGGGGCAACCCUGAUCCAGCCAUCCCGCGUGUGCGAUGAAGGCCUGCGGGUUGUAAAGCACUUUUGGCAGGAAAGCGGUACCUGCAGAAUAAGCACCGGCUAACUACGUGCCAGCAGCCGCGGUAAUUC
rnacentral:rRNA from 1 species